rnacentral:rRNA from 1 species
ACGCUGGCGGCGUGCCUAAUACAUGCAAGUCGAACGCACUCUCGUUUAGAUUGAAGGAGCUUGCUCCUGAUUGAUAACAUUUGAGUGAGUGGCGGACGGGUGAGUAACACGUGGGUAACCUGCCCUAAAGUGGGGGAUAACAUUUGGAAACAGGUGCUAAUACCGCAUAAAACCUAACACCGCAUGGUGUAGGGUUGAAAGAUGGUUUCGGCUAUCACUUUAGGAUGGACCCGCGGUGCAUUAGUUAGUUGGUGAGGUAAAGGCUCACCAAGACCGUGAUGCAUAGCCGACCUGAGAGGGUAAUCGGCCACACUGGGACUGAGACACGGCCCAGACUCCUACGGGAGGCAGCAGUAGGGAAUCUUCCACAAUGGACGAAAGUCUGAUGGAGCAACGCCGCGUGAGUGAAGAAGGUUUUCGGAUCGUAAAACUCUGUUGUUGGAGAAGAAUGUAUCUGAUAGUAACUGAUCAGGUAGUGACGGUAUCCAACCAGAAAGCCACGGCUAACUACGUG